UGGUUUUCCUGGCUAGCUCAGGCAACCCAUUCCAUGCGGGAAGAAGGAGUAUUUGUACACAUUUGUCCUAGCA